UGGAGAAGGAGACAGAGGUGAUCCCGCAGAUGAUGUUGUCAUGGGAGUAAGUCAUGAGCUCCUGGUCAGCACGAAGGUCAAACAGCCUGCAGGUGGCGUCGUCUGCCGGCACAUGCCUUCUCGCACAUCCCAGAGUUUGGCUGAAGCAUCACAAGCACCAGAGACGAACAGUCUGGUGUCAGGAGCAAGAGAAAGGCUCA
rnacentral:lncRNA from 1 species